GGCCCCGUCGUCUAGUGGCCCAGGACGCCGCCCUCUCAAGGCGGUAGCGCCGGUUCAAAUCCGGUCGGGGCUA
rnacentral:tRNA from 1 species